rnacentral:rRNA from 1 species
GACGAACGCUGGCGGCGUGCUUAACACAUGCAAGUCGAACGGAAAGGCCCUGCUUGCAGGGUACUCGAGUGGCGAACGGGUGAGUAACACGUGGGUGAUCUGCCCUGCACUUCGGGAUAAGCCUGGGAAACUGGGUCUAAUACCGGAUAGGAGCCAUUUUUAGUGUGAUGGUUGGAAAGUUUUUUCGGUGUAGGAUGAGCUCGCGGCCUAUCAGCUUGUUGGUGGGGUAAUGGCCUACCAAGGCGGCGACGGGUAGCCGGCCUGAGAGGGUGGACGGCCACAUUGGGACUGAGAUACGGCCCAGACUCCGACGGGAGGCAGCAGUGGGGAAUAUUGCACAAGGGGCGCCAGCCUGAUGCAGCGACGCCGCGGGGGGGAUGACGGCCUUCGGGUUGAAAACUCCUUUCGCUAGGGACGAAGCUUUUUGUGACGGUACCUAGAUAAGAAGCACCGGCUAACUACGUG